GUCACGCUCUAUGUUGGACUGUAGACAACUAGGUUAACAAAAUUGGAUAUUCUGCAUAUUUUCUGAAUUUUUAGUAAGGGCUAGAUGAAUAUUGUAUGCAAUAGUUCUGACUUUGGGCACUGAUUAAUUCUUCAUAUGCAGGAACGUGGCGAGAUGGUGGGCUCCAAGGCCAUCGAGAUAUUGUUGCCCCUGCAGCUUGAGAUGUAAUUGGUCCAAAUGAAUAACCACCAUUUCGAAGGGACAAGGAAGGGAUUGUUGGUGCUCAGGGACACCGCUCCCAACACCUUUAGCCUUGGCCCGAUGCCCCAGUUCGCACAGUCAGGAGGUUUUCCGUAUCAGCUUCAGUUUGUUCACGGUGUUUUAUCAAUGAUGAUGUACUGCUUCAAAAUUUGUUCUGGUACUCUCCAAAUUUAUAUGACCCAAGAAUAUGUCCUGGAUCACUGUUUUAUAUUCAGAAGUUCAUUCUUGU